rnacentral:rRNA from 1 species
GAGCCAUCAGUGAGAAACCACUCUGGAAGAGCUCGGAUUCUAACCUUGUGUCAGACCCGCGGGCCAAGGGACAGUCUCAGGUAGACAGUUUCUAUGGGGCAUAGGCCUCCUAAAAGGUAACGGAGGCGUGCAAAGGUUUCCUCGGGCCAGACGGACAUUGGUCCUCGAGUGCAAAGGCAGAAGGGAGCUUGACUGCAAGACUCACCCGUCGAGCAGAGACGAAAGUCGGCCUUAGUGACCUGAUGGUGCCGAGUGGAAGGGCCGUCGCUCAACGGAAAAAAGGUACUCUAGGGAUAACAUGCAGAUCUUCCCCAAGAGUCCACAUCGACGGGAAGGUUUGGCACCUCGAUGUCGGCUCUUCGCCACCUGGAGCUGUAGGUGGUUCCAAGGGUUAGGCUAUUCGCCCAUUAAUGCGGUACGUGAGUUGGGUUUAGAAUGUCGUGAGACAGUUCGGUCCAUAUCCGGUGUGGGCGUUAGAGCAUUGAGAGGACCUUUCCCUAGUACGAGAGGGCCGGGAAGGACGCACCUUUGGUGUACCAGUUAUCGUGCCUACGGUAAAUGCUGGGUAGCCAAGUGCGGAGAGGAUAACUGCUGAAAGCAUAUAAGUAGUAAGCCCACCCCAAGAUGAGUGCUCUCUCCUCUGACUUCCGUAGAGCCUCCGGUAUCACAGCCGAGACAGCGACGGGUUCUCCACCCAUACGGGGAUGGAGCAACAAAAGUAUGGAAAUAGGAUAAGGUAGCGGCGAGACAAGCCGUUUAAAUAGGUGUCAAGUGGAAGUGUAGUGAUGUAUGCAGCUGAGGCAUCCUAACGAACGAACGAUUUGAACCU